rnacentral:misc_RNA from 1 species
UCCUGGUUUCCCAGGCAGUCCCAUCAGAGUGCCUUCUUACGAAGUAGCAACUGAUAGCAGGGGUUGCGCUCGUUAUAGGACUUAACCCAACAUCUCACGACACGAGCUGACGACAGCCAUGCAGCACCUGUGCAAAUGUCUAAGGUUUCCCUUAGAAAACUACAUCUCUGUAGCGGUCAUAUGCAUGUCAAACCUAGGUAAGGUUCCUCGCGUAGUGUCGAAUUAAACCACAUGUUCCACCGCUUGUGCGGACCCCCGUCAAUUCCUUUGAGUUUUAAUCUUGCGACCGUAGUCCCCAGGCGGAUCACUUAUCGCGUUAGCUACGACACUUAUUCCUCAGAGAGGAACCAACGUCUAGUGAUCAUCGUUUACAGCGUGGACUAC